GAGUUUGAUCGUGGCUCAGGAUGAACGCUGGCGGCGUGCUUAACACAUGCAAGUCGAACGGGGAAUAUUCUGACAGAGACUUCGGUUGAAGUUGUUAUAUUCCUAGUGGCGGACGGGUGAGUAACGCGUGGGUAACCUGCCCCACACAGGGGGAUAACAACCAGAAAUGGCUGCUAAUACCGCAUAAGCGCACGGGGCCGCAUGGCCCAGUGUGAAAAACUCCGGUGGUGUGGGAUGGGCCCGCGUUGGAUUAGCCAGUUGGCAGGGUAACGGCCUACCAAAGCGACGAUCCAUAGCCGGCCUGAGAGGGUGGACGG
rnacentral:rRNA from 1 species